UACGGAGGGUGCAAGCGUUAUCCGGAUUCACUGGGUUUAAAGGGUGCGUAGGUGGGUUUGUAAGUCAGUGGUGAAAUCUCCAAGCUUAACUUGGAACUGCCGUUGAUACUAUAAAAUCUUGAAUGUUGUGGAGGUGAGCGGAAUAUGUCAUGUAGCGGUGAAAUGCUUAGAUAUGACAUAGAACACCAAAUUGCGAAGGCAGCUCACUACACAAAGAUUGACACUGAGGCACGAAAGCGUGGGGAUCAAACAGGAUUAGAAACCCCUGG
rnacentral:rRNA from 1 species